UGGCAACCCUCAUGAACAACUCCAACCCUGCCGGUUCCUUUAUCAAGAUGUAUCAUCUCUUUUAGACCUGAUAGUGGUGUGCUCAACUGCAGCUCUGUGCCCUGGAAGGAGCUUCUUACUUCUCUACUGAGAAAGAGGACAUUGUGGUCUGGGAGAAGGAUUCGCCUUCUCAUAUUCAUUCAUAACACUAAUUAUCCUGAUAGAUCCACAUCCUGCUACUGGAUUUCCUUGAUUGAGCCUUGGGGACAAUCAUCUAUACUAAAUUGAGACAUGGGGUGCGUGGGGACUCCCUAAUGUGCCCUGAAGGAGUUAGCUGCAAAGGUGAUGGGCGAGAGCCAGACUCCAUGCUGGGGACACCAGCCAGGUGCUUUCUGGUCACCAGAGCUUCCAGUAUCUCUCACUUGAGGAUGCCUGGGCCUGCCCCAGCAUGGCUUCCCAGAUUCCAGUAAGAUUGGGUAGAUCUAUCUGGAUGGUUCUGGAAGGACAUAAGAGUGCGAGAAAUUAAGGCAUCAGAGUUUGGGACACUCACCACAACUAGAUACAAAAUUGUGACAUAGUCACACAAUGGAUUCUUACACAGGAUGGAAAAUAAUUUUUCACAUGUAAAGAUGUGAUGAAAUACCAAACAUAUAAUGUUGAACGAAAGGUGCCAGUCACAAAAAUACAUAGUAUAUGGUUCCAUGUAGGUGAAAUUCAGUAAUAGCUAGGAAGAAAGAUGAUUAAUAGUAGAUAGAUGGUAGCUUUGUUUAUUUGUUUAUAGUAGCAUAGUAACGGAAGUCAGAACUUACCCACAAAAAGGGCCAAGAAAGUUUUCUGGGGUGUUAAGAAUAUUCUACAUUUUGGCACAGGUGGUGGUUGCAAAGGUGCAAAUGCGUAAAAUUCUGUCGAACCACACACACGAGUACUUUAAGCCAAAAUUAAAGCAACAAGUGUUUAAAAUGAUUAUCUGAUGAUAAAUUUAUUGGUGAUUUUUCUUUUUUCUGUGUCUAUUUUCCAACUUUUAUACAAAGAAUGAAUGUCUUUUCUGUAAUGAGAAAAGACCAUCAACAUUAAAA